AUGGAAUGCAGAUCUUGUUCUACGCGAAGUGACCUAGAGGAGUUGUUAGUUGAUGAUACCAUGCAGCCCAGGGACCUACCAUUAGCACUUUUGGCAGACAUCACAGGUGAUUUCUCUGAUGAGCAGGAGAUUGGAAGAGGCGGAUUUUCAGUGGUUUACGAGGUAUACAUUCCAAUCUUAAUCACACUUGAUUUGAAAACUCAAACCGAUGCUAACAUGUAUGAGAAAUAGGGAAAACUUGAGGUUGAAUGCCUGAUGCGGGUAAAGCACAAGAAUGUAGUAAGAUUUCUGGGAUAUUGUGCUGACAGACAAGGAAGUAUGGAAAGGUACAACGGAAAACUUCUCAUGGAAGAUGUCCACCAAAGAUUGCUUUGCUUCGAGUAUAUACCUAAAGGGAGUCUUGAUAAGUAUAUCAUUGGUAUGACCAUGUGGCCUCUAACUUUUCUCUUUGUUUUCUUCAUUCAUAUCCUACAAGUUGCAUAA
rnacentral:rRNA from 1 species